rnacentral:rRNA from 1 species
GACGAACGCUGGCGGCGUGCCUAAUGCAUGCAAGUCGAACGCACUGCCUUCGGGCAGUGAGUGGCGCACGGCUGAGGAACACGUGGGAAUCUGCCCGACCGUGGGGGAUAACACGCCGAAAGGCGUGCUAAGCCCGCAUACGCUCGCAAGAGGAAAGCGGCAACGCGCGGUCGGAGGAGCCUGCGGCCCAUCAGGUAGUCGGCGGGGUAACGGCCCACCGAGCCGGUGACGGGUAGCUGGUCUGUGAGGACAGACAGCCAGACUGGGACUGAGACACGGCCCAGACUCCUACGGGAGGCAGCAGCAAGGAAUUUUCGGCAAUGGGCGCAAGCCUGACCGAGCAACGCCGCGUGGAGGACGACGG